AAUCGAUCCCCGAAUCGAUGCGCGUACUCCACCAGCCCAGGUAGGCGUAAGCGCCGUCGACAGGGGAGCCACAGCGGUCGAUUUGCCACCGUCCUCACAGCGGGCUAGUAGUAGGGGAAAAAGUGAACUCAGCUCAGCAACCUGUAACUAGACUCCUAAUGGAAUCAAAGUUAGCUCUGACAUUCAACAGUGGAGAGAGAAGGAGAAGGUACAAUUCGUGUUUCAUGCUCUGAAAAGGCACCCACACCACCAGACUAACACGGCUGUUACUCUGAAACCAGGCAGAGGUUGACUCCUUGGGCAGAGAGAGGAGUGUUUGGAGGCUACUGGUUCCUAUUGAUUUUGGGUAGAUGAGAGAAUGACCAACCUGUGGCAGAGACCAAAAGGAGCAGCCACCCUGAGAUCAUCUGGGGAGAUGGAAACCAGACAGUGAUCUGUGGAGUCAGAGCAUAUAGAAAUUUGCUUAAGUUAAGUAUUGAGGGAGGACUGCAAGAACUCUUGUCAGCAUGGGGUGGGUCUCUGAGAAAAGGCCUUUGCGUGUAUGUGAGGCACAAUAAGCUUGGGGGAGUCGUUUGUCCCCUCUCAAGGA